CAUAGACCACCUAUGCUGGAAUGCUUGGUGGUCCAAAGCUCCGGCACCUUAGGAUGGCUCUGCGACCUAUCAGGUAGUAGGGAGGGUAACGGCCUCCCUAGCCUACGACGGGUACGGGCGUUGAGAGACGUCGCCCGGAGAUGGACUCUGAGACACGAGUUCAGGCCCUACGGGGCGCAGCAGGCGCGAAAACUGCACAAUGCUGGCAACAGCGAUGCGGGAAUUCCAAGUGUCAGCACUAAGUGUUGACUGUUCCAUUGUCUAAAAAACAUUUGAAGUAAGGGCUGGGUAAGACGGGUGCCAGCCGCCGCGGUAAUACCUGCAGCCCGAGUGGUGGCCGUUAUUAUUGGGCCUAAAACGUCCGUAGCCGGUUGGGUAGAUGCCUGUGUAAAUCGAACGGCUUAACCGUUCGAAUUGCGGGUAGACCGCCCGACUAGGGACCGGGAGAGUCACGAAGUACUCCGGGGGUAGAGGUGAAAUUCUGUAAUCCUCGGGGGACUACCGGGUGGCGAAGGCGUCGUGAUAGAACGGCUCCGACGGUGAGGGACGAAGCCCUGGGCGCAAACUGGAUUAGAUACCGGGUAGUCCAGGUGUAACGCU
rnacentral:rRNA from 1 species